AGAUGAUAAAUAAAAUUUGUAGGAAAGUCCCAUAAAAAUCUAGGACUAUUUUUAUGGGACUUUCCUACAAAUUUUAUUUAUCAUCU